rnacentral:tRNA from 1 species
AGGGAUAUAGCUCAGUUGGUAGAGUGUUUGACUUACAUGCACAAGGCCUUGGGUUCAAUCCCCAGUACCACAA